GAUGAACGCUAGCUACAGGCUUAACACAUGCAAGUCGAGGGGAAACGACAUCGAAAGCUUGCUUUUGAUGGGCGUCGACCGGCGCACGGGUGAGUAACGCGUAUCCAACCUGCCCGCCACUUGGGGAUAACCUUGCGAAAGUAAGACUAAUACCCAAUGAUAUCCCACGAAGGCAUCCGAAUGGGAUUAAAGAUUUAUCGGUGAUGGAUGGGGAUGCGUCUGAUUAGCUUGUUGGCGGGGUAACGGCCCACCAAGGCAACGAUCAGUAGGGGUUCUGAGAGGAAGGUCCCCCACAUUGGAACUGAGACACGGUCCAAACUCCUACGGGAGGCAGCAGUGAGGAAUAUUGGUCAAUGGGCGAGAGCCUGAACCAGCCAAGUAGCGUGCAGGACGACGGCCCUAUGGGUUGUAAACUGCUUUUAUAAGGGAAUAAAGUGGGUCUCGUGAGACUUUUUGCAUGUACCUUAUGAAUAAGGACCGGCUAAUUCCGUG
rnacentral:rRNA from 1 species